CCAAAUCCACGCCCAAUCCCCGCCACCAGACCGCCGCCGCCACCAAACCUUCCCACCACCGAAGCGCACUGCCGCCCCCAAAUCUUCGCACCGCCGUCGCGCGCUGCCGCCCCCAAAGCUUCCCACCGCCGCUGCGCGGCCGCCUUCCACUUAGUCCACCGCCGGCAUAGCCACUCACCAUCGCAACCCCUCUGCCUCCCACAAAUCGAGACCCUCCACAGGACUGCAAGGCCUCCGCCCCCAACCAUCCCACCACCGACGGAAGCUCUCCAACCGAGCACUUCCGCCGUCGCCCUCCAUCACGGCAGCCCCUCCGCCCCUCCGCCGCCCCCAACAACCAACCCACUGCUGCCGACCACUACUGUCCACUAUUGUCGUCGCCUCACUCCAUAGCGGCACCGCCGAGCACCCGAUUGACACGGAGCAGCACCAUCGUCGCUGAGCCACCCCACCGGCGGCCACCAUCCUCGCCACCAACCUACUCACGCACUUACUCCUCGAGCAGGCCUCCCCGAAAGUUUCACCGAGCACCAAGCCGCGGGUCCGCCUCCUCCACACGUGCCCCCGAAGCAGCAGGUCGUCGACCCUCUCCUCAACAUCCUUUCCGUGGACUUCACUGCCUCCUAUACUUCAUUUGACAGGCAAUUUUAGUUAAAUUGGUCAAGAAUGGAUAAGAGUGGGAUGGGGAUUACGAUGAGAUGCUCAAUCUUAGUGACCAUGAUGAGGUUCAACCUGAUGAUGUUCAAGAGGAGAUCGACCUAGAUGAUUACGAUGAGAUGCUCGAGUUCUUAGGUCCCAAACGACUAGAGAUGUUGAUGACAUGCCAAGUGACGACAUUGAAGAGCAUGAAGACCAUGAGUUGGAUCAAGAAACGAAGGGGAAGAAGGAAAAAAAAGCACUAGAAUGCACAAUGUGUAUGAUUUCUGAUGUACUAUGUUGUGGAUGACAAACUGAAGGAUUGGCUAAUGGGAAGCGCUGUGAUGUAUCACAUGGCCAUACAAGCAUUUGGAAGUGGACAAGUCCAUGACGAAAGCAGGAAUGCGACCACAAGCAAGCUGAGAUUUCCCUACAGAGUUGAUGGAGCUUUGGAAGAUCUUCAAUCUGCUGAAGAGUUCGGAGAUUUGGAAGAUCUUCAAGCUAGUGAAGAUUUGGUAGACCUAUAAUUAAGUUCGUAGAGUGAUUAUGACACUUGCUCUGCUCAUUUUGCUGGUUGUUAAGCCAGUAUAUGCUCAUUUUGCUUGUGUGACACACCCUAGAAACAUAUGUACUCCUUUUGUGGCACACAUUUAGAAACAUGAUGUAUUGUACCUUUUGUGGCACGACCAACUUAUACAUAUGGCUAUUAUGUUAAUUUAUCGAAUCAACUUUAAGGUUC